AUUGAACGCUGGCGGCAGGCUUAACACAUGCAAGUCGAGCGGAGAGAGGUAGCUUGCUACUGAUCUUAGCGGCGGACGGGUGAGUAAUGCUUAGGAAUCUGCCUAUUAGUGGGGGACAACAUUUCGAAAGGAAUGCUAAUACCGCAUACGUCCUACGGGAGAAAGCAGGGGAUCUUCGGACCUUGCGCUAAUAGAUGAGCCUAAGUCGGAUUAGCUAGUUGGUGGGGUAAAGGCCUACCAAGGCGACGAUCUGUAGCGGGUCUGAGAGGAUGGUCCGCCACAAUGGGACUGAGACAGGGCCCAGACUCCUACGGGAGGCAGCAGUGGGGAAGAUUGGACAAUGGGCGGAAGCCUGAUCCAGCCAUGCCGCGUGUGUGAAGAAGGCCUUAUGGUUGUAAAGCACUUUAAGCGAGGAGGAGGCUACUUUAGUUAAUACCUAGAGAUAGUGGACGUUACUCGCAGAAUAAGCACCGGCUAACUCUGUGCCAGCCGCCGCGGUAAAAC
rnacentral:rRNA from 1 species